rnacentral:rRNA from 1 species
CCUACGGGCGGCAGCAGUGAGGAAUAUUGGUCAAUGGACGAGAGUCUGAACCAGCCAAGUAGCGUGAAGGAUGACUGCCCUAUGGGUUGUAAACUUCUUUUAUAUGGGAAUAAAACGUUCCACGUGUGGGAUUUUGUAUGUACCAUAUGAAUAAGGAUCGGCUAACUCCGUGCCAGCAGCCGCGUUAAUACGGAGGAUCCGAGCGUUAUCCGGAUUUAUUGGGUUUAAAGGGAGCGUAGGUGGAUUGUUAAGUCAGUUGUGAAAGUUUGCAGCUCAACCGUAAAAUUGCAGUUGAAACUGGCAGUCUUGAGUACAGUAGAGGUGGGCGGAAUUCGUGGUGUAGCGGUGAAAUGCUUAGAUAUCACGAAGAACUCCGAUUGCGAAGGCAGUUCACUGGACUGCAACUGACACUGAGGCUCGAAAGUGUGGGUAUCAAACAGGAUUAGAUACCCUUGUAGUC